rnacentral:rRNA from 1 species
AUUGAACGCUGGCGGCAGGCCUAACACAUGCAAGUCGAGCGGAUGAAGGGAGCUUGCUCCUGGAUUCAGCGGCGGACGGGUGGGUAAUGCCUAGGAAUCUGCCUGGUAGUGGGGGAUAACGUCCGGAAACGGGCGCUAAUACCGCAUACGUCCUGAGGGAGAAAGUGGGUGAUCUUCGGACCUCACGCUAUCAGAUGAUCCUAGGUCGGAUUAGCUAGUUGGUGGGGUAAAGGCCUACCAAGGCGACGAUCCGUAACUGGUCUGAGAGGAUGAUCAGUCACACUGGAACUGAGACACGGUCCAGACUCCUACGGGAGGCAGCAGUGGGGAAUAUUGGACAAUGGGCGAAAGCCUGAUCCAGCCAUGCCGCGUGUGUGAAGAAGGUCUUCGGAUUGUAAAGCACUUUAAGUUGGGAGGAAGGGCAGUAAGUUAAUACCUUGCUGUUUUGACGUUACCAACAGAAUAAGCACCGGCUAACUUCGUG